rnacentral:rRNA from 1 species
GUGGGGAAUAUUGGACAAUGGGGGAAACCCUGAUCCAGCCAUGCCGCGUGUGUGAAGAAGGCCCUCGGGUUGUAAAGCACUUUCAGCGAGGAAGAACGCCUAGCGGUUAAUACCCGCUAGGAAAGACAUCACUCGCAGAAGAAGCACCGGCUAACUCCGUGCCAGCAGCCGCGGUAAUACGGAGGGUGCAAGCGUUAAUCGGAAUUACUGGGCGUAAAGCGCGCGUAGGUGGCUUGAUAAGCCGGUUGUGAAAGCCCCGGGCUCAACCUGGGAACGGCAUCCGGAACUGUCAAGCUAGAGUGCAGGAGAGGAAGGUAGAAUUCCCGGUGUAGCGGUGAAAUGCGUAGAGAUCGGGAGGAAUACCAGUGGCGAAGGCGGCCUUCUGGACUGACACUGACACUGAGGUGCGAAAGCGUGGGUAGCAAACAGG